AGGCAAUAGAUACCCAGGUAGUCCACGCCCUAAACGAUGUCUACUAGUUGUUGGUGGAGUAAAAUCCAUGAGUAAACGCAGCUAACGCGUGAAGUAGACCGCCUGGGGAGUACGGUCGCAAGAUUAAAACUCAAAGGAAUUGACGGGGGCUCGCACAAGCGGUGGAUUAUGUGGAUUAAUUCGAUGCAACGCGAAAACCUUACCUGGCCUUGACAUGCCACUAACGAAGCAGAGAUGCAUUAGGUGCCCGUAAGGGAAAGUGGACACAGGUGCCGCAUGGCUGUCGUCAGCUCGUGUCGUGAGAUGUUGGGUUAAGUCCCGCAACGAGCGCAACCCUUGCCAUUAAUUGCCAUCGUUUAGUUGGGCACUUUAAUGGGACUGCCGGUGACAAACCGGAGGAAGGUGGGGAUGACGUCAAGUCCUCAUGGCCCUUAUGGCCAGGGCUUCACACGUAAUACAAUGGUCGGUACAGAGAGUUGCCAACCCGCGAGGGGAGCUAAUCUCAGAAAGUCGAUCGUAGUCC
rnacentral:rRNA from 1 species